CAAGAUGGUGCCACUGCACUCAGCCCAGGCGACAGAGCAAAACUGUCUCAAAAAAGUAAUUAAAUAAAUAAAAUAAAAUGAAAACAAAAGAAGAAAAACACUUGGACAAAGGGACUAGAGAAGGCAGAAGUAGAAACAGGGAGGCCAGUGGAGAGGCUAUUGGAGAAGUCCAGGUAAGAAUUUAUGGCAGCACAGUUGAGGGUUCCGGCAGUGCACAUGGCAGAAAGGGUUUGUGCUGAAUUAUUUUCUCUCCCUGUGCACUACAUUAUGUCCCAGGUCCC
rnacentral:lncRNA from 10 species